rnacentral:tRNA from 1 species
GCCCACUUAGCUCAGAGGUUAGAGCAUCGCAU